GUGAUGCAGUAGUCAUUUAGUUAGCAUAUUUGCACAAUGACAUGAAUGCAAAUCUAUGACAUGGUACGAAAUUAAAAAUUAUGUGAGAAUUGUGGUGCCAUGUUCAAAUGAGGUACAAAAGUUAGCAUAGCCUGUAAUUAUGUAAAUUGUGAAUCUUAAUUUACCUCAAAUCAUUCAUGCUAUAUUCCUAUACAAUUAGGAACCGAAAGAGGGCAGAGUUUCCUUGCUUUCUUACCAAAUGAAUAUCACCAUGAUAUAUAGGAAUACUCUAGAGCAGAAAACAAGGAUAGGGGAGAUCAGAUUGUAGCAUGAUUAUUGUUUGAGUAUACUUUAAUAUGUUUUUAGGUAUUACAGUACUAAAUUUCUGUGAUUGUAAGAUUUUUAUAUUGUUAUGUUGAUCAAAGUCAUACUUGGUUCCAUAGUUCUAUAAGAUGUCAUCACAUAAUCUGCUUUUCUUUGUUUCUGUUUCUGUCCAUUAAUUGUGCUUGCAAUUCUGUUUAUUUUUAUGCCGGGAACCAAUAUUAAAUGCUAAUUUUCUUAUUUUUUUUAUGGUUUUUGCAUGAAAUUUAUGUGAGAUAAUUUGCGAGUACUUGAGUGAAAUUUAUU
rnacentral:misc_RNA from 1 species